CAAAUCAGAGUCCGAUGGGACGGAAAUCGUCGGACCACUCCAACGUCGUUAAUUUUCUUUCCAUCCAACGGUUGGCUCUUCUUCAAAAGAAAAAAGAAAGAAACCCCUUAACCCCGCACGUUGACCACCCAAAUCCCCAAAUUUCCGGCCAGUUAUGCCUCCACCAAAUUGGGAAAUUGAUCUGCUGCUCGGUGCCUUCUCUCCGCCGCGAUUCUGGUAUACCAUGGCGCCUUGCCUCUCGCCGCCUCACUGCACCCUCACAUCCAGGCAUAGAUCCGCGCCUCCACCUGGAUCGACUCUGGCGCCGGCGGGCAUGUCGUUCCCCCGUGGGGAAUCAUGGCGGAGCCUCGCUGACCGCCGUCGGCCGAUGCAAAAAUUGGAGGCAGCCUUGCCGGGACAACCAAGUUCACACUCUCCUUCGUGGAUUUGAAGCAGGUUGGAGGCUACUUCCACUAGUCUAGGUCACCAUCAACGACGACAUGAAUCGGGGGAAGUAGGCCUUCAAGUUGUAGCAUCUCUAUGUCCAUGCCGCUCCAACUGCCGCACAUAGUCGAGCAGCGGAAGAAAGCACACUCACCAUCUAAAUGAAGCACCAUCACGAUCGGAAGGAAGCAUGGAAGACCGGUGGCGUGUGACGAAGCAUGAUCACCAUCUGAAUGAAACAUGAUCACCAUCGAAAAGGAGCAUGGCGAAAUCAGCCGGUGGAGCGGAACGAAGCAUGACCACCAUCUGAAUGAAGCACGGCCACGAUCAAAAGGAAGCAUGGAAAUCAUCGUGUGUUGCCAUCUGCAUCUUCCUCGACGGCGUAGAGUCUAGUCCCAUAUGACACAUUUUUUGCUUUAUGGAAGCAAACCUAAAGCAAGUACUCCUGUUUUAAAAGUUGUGCUUCGUCCAAUGCAGAAGCAUUUGUAAAGAAAGUAGCACAAGUGAUGUAGACAUUU